rnacentral:lncRNA from 1 species
GUCAUUAGGCACCAGAACCCUGAAUUCCGAGAUAGAGGGAUGGCUGAUCUCAUGCUAAUGAGGUUUAGACCAUGUUGAGCCCUACUUUUGUUCUGUGGGAAGUUGGAUAUCCCUUAUACACCUAUGGCUCCAUCUUCAUCAUUAUUGUAAUUAUCUGGCAAGUGAAAAGGAGCCACCAUGAAUUGAACUUGGAAGUCAAAAGGAGCUGCUGCUGGCAUCCAGCAGGACUUAUCUGCGAAUCAGAUGGGAAGUAUAGAAUUUGGAAAAGCCUCCAAGUGAAUCCGAAAUAAGCAGAGAAGGAAAAUGGAGUAAAAAG